rnacentral:lncRNA from 1 species
GUUACUGAAGAGAGAACUUCUGGAGCGGUGCGACCACUUCGUGACAAGUAUCCGCUCUGUGAGGACAAAAGAGGCUCAUGCUUAAGAUAAAAACGCCAAGACCACUUCGAAAAUAAAUAAAGCAAGAAAUUGGAGCACUGCAUGUCCUUCAUACCACCGAGUAUUUGACAAUUUAAGCAAUGAAUUUCAAGGCAGUUCUAAUAACUGCGUGGAUUUGGUUCCCUGCUUUAGCAACUGCAUAUGAAACAGCAAGCGGAGCGUUUCUGGUCUGCGACUCGCCAGAGUGUACUCAAAGAGCCAAACUAUUAAAUGAAUCGCUUAACACCAGCAUUGAUCCUUGCACGGACUUCUAUUCAUACGUUUGCGACCGCUGGGAAAGCAAUCAUCCUCUUACAGGCGGUCGGAAAAGCUAUGAUGUUUAUGACGAGAUUCGUAAAGAUAUUCCGGAAAUGCUGAGUGAUAUUCUUGGAAACAGAUCCCGAGUUGAGAGUAACCAAACCAUAAUUGACAAGGUGGCAACCAUGUAUAAUGCGUGUUUAGCACUUCCAGAUACUCCGGAUGCAUUAAUUAGAGUACUGAAUGAAUCUGGAUAUAAUGCCUGGCCGAUUAUCAGCGGACAAAACAUCUUCAACUCCAGUAAUUCUACGGACUUACUUGAUCAUAUGGACAUUUCUGCAAUUCUCUAUGUGGAGAUUG